rnacentral:rRNA from 1 species
UACGGAGGGUGCUAGCGUUGUUCGGAAUUACUGGGCGUAAAGGGCGCGUAGGCGGCCGUUUGCGUCGGAUGUGAAAGCCCGGGGCUCAACCUCGGAACGGCAUUCGAUACGGGACGGCUGGAGACCGGGAGAGGAGAGUGGAAUAGCCAGUGUAGAGGUGAAAUUCGUAGAUAUUGGCUGGAACACCGGUGGCGAAAGCGGCUCUCUGGCCCGGUUCUGACGCUGAUGCGCGAAAGCCAGGGGAGCGAACGGG